rnacentral:lncRNA from 1 species
GUCUAAACUCCUCGCUGAUGAGGUUUACAAAUAAGGAGUGGACUGAGCAACAGACCUUAGUUAGACCUGCUUUGUACAUUCUCAGUCCCCAGACAAACAGCUCGGGGCAAUACGAUUCCUGCAUCCAAAGGACUAUGGGUUACAGACACCUCUCUCUUCUGGGAUACAACGUGUAAAAGCCGGAUUGAGAUCUCUAUGCCUGUUCUUCAACUGCUGUGGCUACCACUAUUCCAAGAGACAGAAUAAGAAAGUUAAAGACAACAAGAAAUGGGUCUGUAAGGCCCGAAGUGAGUGGUGUGGCAAACGACUGGACUCACUCACAUGAAUAUAAGGCUAAUCCAUUCAGGAACAGACUAAGUCUCGUCCUGACCUACUUGUCGUUUUUCUGUA